UUACGGCCAAAUCAUACUGAAACAUUGGUUCCCGUACGAUCACUGAAGUUAGGCUACGUCGAGCCUGGUCAGUACUUAGAUGAGUGACCGCUUG